GGCGGCGGCGCACGCGGGGCUCCCAGAGGCAGGUGCCCAAGGUCGCGGCCGGCCGCGGCCGGAUUUCCCACCGGCCGAGCUGAGGUCACCGGCUUGGGCAGAGGCGACUCAGGUGCCUCGGGGGCAGUGGCUCGCCCGAGCGUAUGGUGAACCCGACCUGGCGGCGGCCCGAGCGGCCGUGCCCAGUCUCCGUACAGCCCUCGUAGGCGUGCUUUGGUCUCUUGUCCCCCGUGGUUCUUCCUGAAGCCCAGGGAGGAAGGGCAGGCACCGCGGGGCCCACAGCUGGCCUCUGGCGCCUCUGGACCCCGAAGUCAGCUCCCGUGAGGUUUUAUCACCAAAGCGGCCGAGCGUCCAGCGCCCACACCUACCACGGAAAAAGAAACGGAACCAGAGCAGGGAGUGACUUUCCCAAGGUCAUCCAGUCAGCCAGCCCCUUCCCCGCAGUCUUCGAAGCGCAGCUCCCUGGGUGCACCUGCCCCGGCACCUACCAUCCCAGAACGCCUCCCAGUGCUCAAAUGCCGGAGCACCCGUCGGCUGGUAUUAGUAAGUAAUCUCCGAGAGCGGAGAGUCCGGAACCUUGGCGUCCCCCUCAGUCCUGCCCACCGGACUGGAAAGGUUAGGGAAAUCCCAUCGACACUGAGCGGGGAAGUAGAGAUGGCAGGGACCGUCUACACUGUUGAUUUGAUUGAGUGUGGGACCGUCUACACUGUUGAUUUGAUGGAGUGUGCUUUAACACGGGCCACUGCUGAUAGAGGGACAGUGUCCUCGAGUUGGAGCACGGAGCCCCCUCGGGCUGCGGGAGGAGCAUGGACUUGGAGGGCCUCCAGGCCCUGCCCUUCACCUGCUGUGUGAUGGUGCUUAAGUUUCCUCACCUGCAGACCUGCAGAAUGGGGUAAUAGUGGGUUGUCGGAGAGUUCCUGUGAUCUGUCUAAAGUGCUGAGAACAGGGCCGGGCACGCUCAGUUGAGUGCUGGCUGCUGCUGCUGUUUGUAGUUGUUGCUUAUACCCUAGCCGGAGACCGCGCAGAACGCGACCUUGAUACCUGAGGACUGCUUCCGUUCUCAGAGCCCCUGGUUCUCAGGCUCUUUUCCAGAGAUUGCUGGUGACCAAAACUUAAAUCCAUCUGAUACUAAGAGAGCAAUUUUGGACUGUUCUUUCAGGGACUGUCAUUCAAAUGCCUUCAGGGAACAGGGGGAUGACUCUGUGUGUGUGUGUGUGUGUGUGACAACAGCAAAUAGGGAGAUGCCUUCCAAUUCAGACGCUUAAAAACAUGAAUACUUUAUGAGCAUCCCAGACCUUUUGGGGCAGGAGGGAGACCUGGGUUCAGGAGGGUAAAAUUGAGUGGUUGGGUUGAAGAGGGAACCCAGGUACCCUAACUCCCUCUGAACCAUCCCUUCCCAGGGCCCUCCUUCAAGUGAUCUUUGGAAGGAAUUCCCAGAGUCAGAAGGGCCUUGGGAGGAGGAAAGGGCCAGGUGGGCGGGCCACCCUCCCUGUAGAGGGAAGACCAGCGAUGCGGAGCUGCUCAGUUACUCAGGCCUCUGGACACUGGUGUGGUGCCGCCACCACCACUCCCGCUGAGGAACCAAAGCAAGGAUCGGAAGGAGGUGGUAGUUACUCACAGUGCCCGAUGCUUACUGAAUGCCUGCAGACGAUGCAGCACUAUCCUAAGUGCUUUACAUCGCCUUAUUUUAAGAGCCUCCCUGGUUCAAGAAAUCCUUAAUAACUCUGGGAAAGCACAUGGACUGGAAAAGUCACAGGUAUCCAGAAGAGACACUUCCUUAUCUUCCUGUUGAGCCUCUCAGAAUUUUUUCAAAUUGAAAUGUAAAUAUUCAUGUUGCAAAGAAAAAACUAGGCACUUCCAUGGUGGGCUUGAAAACCACUGACUUAAACCAAAAGACAAGCCAGCAAGCUAUGG